CGACGUGAGGAACCUGCCUUUCAGAGGGGGACAACAGUUGGAAACGACUGCUAAUACCGCAUAACGCAUGGGUAUCGCAUGGUAUCUGUGCCAAAGAUUUAUCGCUGAGAGAUGGCCUCGCGUCUGAUUAGCUAGUUGGUGAGGUAACGGCCCACCAAGGCGACGAUCAGUAACCGGACUGAGAGGUUGGCCGGCCACAUUGGGACUGAGAUACGGCCCAGACUCCUACGGAAGGCAGCAG
rnacentral:rRNA from 1 species